rnacentral:rRNA from 1 species
UAACAAGGAUUCCCCCUAGUAACUGCGAGUGAAGCGGGAAAAGCUCAAAUUUAAAAUCUGGCGGUUUCACCGUCCGAGUUGUAAUCUGGAGAAGCAUUUUCCGCGUUGGACCGUGUACAAGUCUCUUGGAAUAGAGCGUCAUAGAGGGUGAGAAUCCCGUCCAUGACACGGACUACCAGUGCUUUGUGAUAUGCUCUCAAAGAGUCGAGUUGUUUGGGAAUGCAGCUCAAAAUGGGUGGUAAAUUCCAUCUAAAGCUAAAUAUUGGCGAGAGACCGAUAGCGAACAAGUACCGUGAGGGAAAGAUGAAAAGCACUUUGGAAAGAGAGUUAAACAGUACGUGAAAUUGUUGAAAGGGAAACGCUUGAAGUCAGUCGCGUUGUCCGGGACUCAGCCUUGCUAUUUGCUUGGUGUACUUCCUGGUUGACGGGUCAACAUCAAUUUUGGCUGGUGGAUAAAGGCCGAGAGAAGGUGGCAUCUUCGGAUGUGUUAUAGCUCUUGGUUGUAUACGCUGGCUGGGAUUGAGGUCUGCAGCACGCCUUUUUGGCCGGGGUUCGCCCACGUAACGUGCUUAGGAUGUUGGCAUAAUGGCUUUAAGCGACCCGUCUUGAAACACGGACCAAGGAGUCUAACAUGCCUGCGAGUAUUAGAGUGGAAAACUCUUGU